GUCUUGUUCUUUUGAGAAGGGAAAAAAGAAAUUGAUCACCGAGUUCUUCUUUUCUCUCCUUUCUGCUCUGUCUCUCUCUCCAUCUCCCGUUUCCUAAUUUCGCCUGCGUCGGAGGCCAAUCGAAGAGGGUUUUUUUGUGAUUCGAAAGGCAGGACCGUGUGAUUGUGUUGGUUUGAGAAGGGAAUCGAAGCGGUAAAAAAUUGUCGGCGAAUCGAAGAGGUAGUUUUGUGAAUCGAAAGGCGAAUCGAAUAGGCUGUAUAUGUCUCUCUCUCUCUCUCUGUGGCUCCCUCAUACCGCAUGCAUCUGAGUAGAAUCGAAGCAGCUGCAGCAACAAUCGAAAGGUAAAGUUGAUUGUGCUUUAGGUCGUCCACGCCAAACCUAACGCCGUCUCCGCCGUUGGUCUCGCUGGCCCCGGAACUGCAGAGGUUGUGCCUUAUGUUGAUGCUGAUUUGAAGCAUACCGCUGUUAAGGUUGUCGAGAAAGCCAAAGCACUAUGUCUGAGCAAGUCAGUUCAUGGCGCAAUGAUAGUAGUUUUUGAAGGCGAUGCAAGGAAUAUCCUGUGCGAGGUACAUAAGAAGGCAAGUCACGGGUUCACAGUGAGAGUGGAAGACUCUUGUGUCACGGUUGUAUUUUUUGUCGUCUGUCAUUAGUUGUUGUUCUGUACUCACGAGAAUAUUGUAAAGUGUCAUGUUUUGUAGUCUUGUGUCAUGGUUGUAUUCUUCUCUUAUUGUCCAUAUUCAAAUUGUAUUGGUGUGUCACGGAGUUGUAGUUAAAGUUCGUAUAUAAACUCUUUGUAUUGUUGGUCUUUCUUUAAAAACACAUAAUCAAGUAUUUCUUUAUAAACUAUUCUUGUUCUCUC